rnacentral:rRNA from 1 species
UACGGAGGAUGCAAGCGUUAUCCGGAUUCAUUGGGUUUAAAGGGUGCGUAGGCUGGCCAAUAAGUCAGAGGUGAAAAGCAUAGGCUUAACCUACGUAAGCAUUUGAAACUGUUGGUCUUGAGUGCAAAUGAGGUUGGCGGAAUGUGUAGUGUAGCGGUGAAAUGCUUAGAUAUUACACAGAACACCGAUAGCGAAGGCAGCUAACCAAGAUGCAACAGACGCUGAGGCGCGAAAGCGUGGGGAGCAAACA